rnacentral:lncRNA from 1 species
AAAGGUGGUGGAUAUGAAUCAUAUUUUUUUGUUUAGUUUUUCUUAUGGCAAUAAUAAAAUGCCUCCAAUAUCAGUAUUGCGCCGUCAGUAGUCACUGCGUCAACUCAAUGCAUUUUGUUCCUCAAUAUGACAAUAAUAAUUUUGACUAAAAAGAUACUCAAGACACAAUAAUUAGGGCAAGAGUAAAGAGGUUUAGUGGUGGGACUGUAGCUUCAACCCUCGAAGAGCUUUCUCAAUUUUGUUUUUGAAAGUUUUCAAUGCAUGUAUAAAUAUAAAUACAAAUACAAAUACGUUCUUUUAAAGAUUGUAGGAAAAAAUAGUC